GUGCCAGCCGCCGCGGUAAUACCGGCAGCCCGAGUGAUGGCCGAUCUUAUUGGGCCUAAAGCGUCCGUAGCUGGCCGCGCAAGUCCAUCGGGAAAUCCACCUGCUCAACGGGUGGGCGCCCGGUGGAAACUGUGCGGCUUGGGACCGGAAGGCGCGACGGGUACGUCCGGGGUAGGAGUGAAAUCCCGUAAUCCUGGACGGACCGCCGAUGGCGAAAGCACGUCGCGAGAACGGAUCCGACAGUGAGGGACGAAAGCCAGGGUCUCGAACCGGAUUAGAAACCCUGGUAGUCC
rnacentral:rRNA from 1 species